UAGGGAAUCUUCCGCAAUGGGCGAAAGCCUGACGGAGCAACGCCGCGUGAGUGAAGAAGGAUUUCGGUUCGUAAAGCUCUGUUGUUAGGGAAGAAUGAUUGUAUAGUAACUAUAUGCAGUAGAGACGGUACCUAACCAGAAAGCCACGGCUAACUACGUGCCAGCAGCCGCGGUAAUACGUAGGUGGCAAGCGUUGUCCGGAAUUAUUGGGCGUAAAGCGCGCGCAGGUGGUUUAAUAAGUCUGAUGUGAAAGCCCACGGCUCAACCGUGGAGGGUCAUUGGAAACUGUUAAACUUGAGUGCAGGAGGGAAAAGUGGAAUUCCUAGUGUAGCGGUGAAAUGCGUAGAGAUUAGGAGGAACACCAGUGGCGAAGGCGGCUUUUUGGCCUGUAACUGACACUGAGGCGCGAAAGCGUGGGGAGCAAACAGGAUUAGAUACCCUGGUAGUCCACGCCGUAACGAUGAGUGCUAAGUGUUGGUCUCAUAAGAGAUCAGUGCUGCAGCUAACGCAUUAAGCACUCCGCCUGGGGAGUACGACCGCAAGGUU
rnacentral:rRNA from 1 species